GACGAACGCUGGCGGCGUGCCUAAUACAUGCAAGUCGAACGCAGUGGGGACGGGUGAGUUACACGUGGGUAACCUCCCAUCAGAGGGGAUAACACUUGGAAACAGGUGCUAAACCGAUACUGAUGGAUGAACCCGCGGUGCAUUAGCUAGUUUGUGAGGUAACGGCUCACCAGGGCCACGAUGCAUAGCCGACCUGAGAGGGUGAUCGGCCACACGGGGACUGCGCCACGGCCCAGACGCCUACGGGAGGCAGCAGUGGGGAAUCUUCGGCAAUGGACGAAAGUCUGACCGAGCAAUGCCGCGUGUGUGAAGAAGGUUUUCGGGUCGUAAAGCUCUGUUGUUAGAGAGGCGGUAUCUAACCAGAAAGCCACGGCUAACUACGUGCCAGCAGCCGCGGUAAUUC
rnacentral:rRNA from 1 species